rnacentral:rRNA from 1 species
AGUGAACGCUGGCGGUAGGCCUAACACAUGCAAGUCGAACGGCAGCACAGAGGAGCUUGCUCCUUGGGUGGCGAGUGGCGGACGGGUGAGGAAUACUUCGGAAUCUACUCUGUCGUGGGGGAUAACGUAGGGAAAAUUACGCUAAUACCGCAUACGACCUACGGGAGAAAGCAGGGGAUCUUCGGACCUUGCGCGAUUGAAUGAGCCGAUGUUGGAUUAGCUAGUUGGCGGGGUAAAGGCCCACCAAGGCGACGAUCCGUAGCUGGUCUGAGAGGAUGAUCAGCCACACUGGAACUGAGACACGGUCCAGACUCCUACGGGAGGCAGCAGUGGGGAAUAUUGGACAAUGGGCGCAAGCCUGAUCCAGCCAUACCGCGUGGGUGAAGGAGGCCUUCGGGUUGUAAAGCCCUUUUGUUGGGAAAGAAAUCCAGCUGGCUAAUACCCGGUUGGGAUGACGGUACCCAAAGAAUAAGCACCGGCUAACUUCGUGCCAGCCGCCGCGGUAA